AACUGGCUUCUGAAUCGGAAACUGCGGCUUAGGUUGUUGUGGAACUGGCUUCUGAAGCGGAAACUGCGGCUUAGGUUGUUGUGGAACUGGCUUCUGAAGCGGAAACUGCGGCUUAGGUUGUUGUGGAACUGGCUUCUGAAGCGGAAACUGCGGUGUAGGUUGUUGUGGAACUGGCUUCUGAAGCGGAAACUGCGGGUUAGGUUGUUGUGGAACUGGCUUCUGAAGCGGAAACUGCAGCUUAGGUUGUGGAACUGGCUUCUGAAGCGGAAACUGCGGCUUAGGUUGUUGUGGAACUGGCUUCUGAAGCGGAAACUGCGGUGUAGUUAGCUGUUGAACUGGCUUCUGGAGCUGAAACUGCUGGUCAGUUUGCUGGAUCAUCAGAGCUUGAG